GACGAACGCUGGCGGCGUGCUUAACACAUGCAAGUCGAACGGGCCUGUCUUCUUUUUUGGGGGUGGGUUGAGUGGCGAACGGGUGAGUAUCACGUGAGUAACCUGCCCUUCGGUCCUGGAUAACCGCUUGAAAGGGCGGCUAAUACGGGGUGGUCCGGUUGGUCCGCAUGGGCUGGUCGGGAUAGAUUCACUGUUUUUGGUGUUUCGGCGGGGGAUGGGCUCGCGGCCUAUCAGCUUGUUGGUGGGGUGAUGGCCUACCAAGGCGGUGACGGGUAGCCGGCCUGAGAGGGUGGGCGGCCAGACUGGGACUGAGAUACGGCCCAGACUCCUGCGGGAGGCAGCAGUGGGGGGUAUUGCACAAUGGGCGGAAGCCUGAUGCAGCGACGUCGCGUGAGGGAGGGAGGCCUUCGGGUUGUGAACCUCUGUUUCCGGUGGUGAAGGCCCUGUCCGUGUGGUGGGGUUGACGGUAGCCGGGGAUGAAGCGCCGGCUAACUACGUG
rnacentral:rRNA from 1 species